AUGGAUUCCAAUCACCGUUUACAUUUGCUUGAGGAAUUUCACUCAGCACAUACGGAAUUUCUCUUUGACCCUCUUUGCGUGGCUUGGCAAAAUUACUUUGGAGACUUACAUUUCACAGUUUCACAUUUGGUUGAGAUCAAAUGUGCCAAAUGGACAGCCCAAGUGGCUUCUUUCUUUUAUCCCACAGUAUCCUAUGCUCAACUUCAUGCUUACUAG